GAGGAGCCUGAUGGGCUAUAGUUCGAGAGGUCACAAAGAGUUGGACAUGACUGAGUGACUUUCACUUUCACUUGAUUAAAGAGGGGCGGAUCCUGCAUCAGUGGUAAUGAUGACCACCAGGGGGCAGACGAGAGCAUCCUUAGAAUAUGCAGACACUCAGCCCUCCUUCUAGGGGUGGAGAAAGAAAGGGCAAGGUCAUAUCUUUCUGCUGAGAGAUGUGGUGUGAGGCCAGUUCCUGAAGAUGCUGGUGCUUCUGCUGCUUCUGGGACCCAGCUCUGGGCUUGGCGCUCUCGUCUCUCAGCAGCCCCGCAGGGCUGUCAGUAAGAGUGGAGCCUCUGUGACCAUCGAGUGCCGUGCAGUGGACUUUCAAGCCUCAAGUAUGUUCUGGUAUCGUCAGUUCCCGAAAGGAGGCCUCGUGCUGAUGGCAACUUCUAAUGCGGGCACUAAUGCCACAUACGAACAAGGUUAUAACAAGAACAAGUUUCCCAUCAAUCAACCAGACCUAAAAUUUUCAUCUCUGAUGGUGACAAGAGUGGAUCCUGCAGACAGCGGCCUCUACUUCUGCAGUGCUAGAGACACAGCGCUGGGCAGAGAUCAGAGACCCAGACAAGAAUCUUGGUAGCAACCCCCUUCCCCACCCCACUGAACCAUGGGGCCCUGUGGAAGGAGGUGUGGAGAGAGAAAACCACAGCCUCUCUGAAUGAGUCAUCUGUGGCUGUGUGUGUAGAGAGAGAAAGGGAGAGAAAAAUAUCUGAGUAGAGAGCAGGGGGAUGGUAUGGUGCUUGAGAACUAGCCAUAUGGAAAUGGAGCUAGGCCUAUCAAUGGCCAACCAAGUUCCCUGGGCUGAAAAUUAUAAAAUCUGGAUUUUUUUUUCUGAUUCUCCCAUAUGAUAAUCAUAAGUUCUUAGAUAAAUUGACACAUAAUCCUAUAGGUAGAUCCCAAAAUGCUUCUAUAAAGCAAUGAAUACUUCUAUAAUGGGCUUCCC